UACGUAGGAGGCGAGCGUUGUCCGGAAUCAUUGGGCGUAAAGAGCGCGCAGGCGGCUUGGCAAGUCGGGUGUGAAAUCCCGGGGCUCAACCCCGGGACUGCAUUCGAUACUGUCAGGCUAGAGGUAGGUAGGGGAGAUCGGAAUUCCUGGUGUAGCGGUGAAAUGCGCAGAUAUCAGGAGGAACACCGGUGGCGAAGGCGGAUCUCUGGGCCUUACCUGACGCUCAGGCGCGAAAGCUAGGGGAGCGAACAGG
rnacentral:rRNA from 1 species